rnacentral:tRNA from 1 species
AAUAAGAUGCCUGAUAAAAAGGAUUAUUUUGAUAGAAUAAAUCAUGUAUCUAUGAUACUCUUAUUA